AACCGCCGUAUACGGAACCGUACGUACGGUGGUGUGAGAGGUCGGUAGUUGAACUAAUCAAUUACCUCCUACUCGAU
rfam:Lactobacillus panis DSM 6035 NODE_87, whole genome shotgun sequence.